GUGGUUAAGUGAAUAAGGGCGUACGGUGAAUGCCUUGGCACUAGGAGCCGAUGAAGGACGGGACGAACACCGAUAUGCUUCGGGGAGCUGUAAGUAAGCUUUGAUCCGGAGAUUUCCGAAUGGGGGAACCUCAUUGGGAAGGUAGAUUCCCGAGUAGCGGCGAGCGAAACGGAAAGAGGCCAAACCAGCGUGCUUGCAUGCUGGGGUUGUAGGACUGAUGGACGGGAGUGAAUGAGUUAGUCGAACGCCAUGGAAAGGGCGAUCAGAGAGGGUGACAAUCCCGUAGGCGAAAGCUCAGCCACCUCAUUCAGUAUCCUGAGUACGGCGGUACACGUGAAAUUCCGUCGGAAUCCGCCAGGACCAUCUGGCAAGCCUAAAUACUCCCUAGUGACCG
rnacentral:rRNA from 1 species